rnacentral:misc_RNA from 1 species
AACUUUCAGCAACGGAUCUCUUGGCUCUCGCAUCGAUUAAGAACGCAGCGAAAUGCGAUAAGUAAUGUGAAUUGCAGAUUUUCAGUGAAUCAUCGAAUCUUUGAACGCACCUUGCGCCCCUUGGUAUUCCGAGGGGCAUGCCUGUUUGAGUGUCAUUAAAUUCUCAACUCCGAUCGAUUUGUUUCGGUCGUGGAGCUUGGACUUGGAGCGUGCUGGCGGAUAGUGCGCUCGUCUCAAAUGCAUCGGCUGAAUUGAAACUUUGACUUCCGGAUGUAAGUGUGAUAACCAAUGUUGCGCUGUCGACAGGAGUCGGAGGCCGCUUACAAACGUCCCCGGGACAAAGACCCCCUAUCAAAUUUGACCUCAAAUCAGGUAGGACUACCCGCUGAACUUAAGCAUAUCAAUAAGCGGAGGCU